GCCUCCUUAGCUCAGUUGGUAGUAGCGCCGCCAUGGUAAGGCGGAGGUCUCCGGUUCGAGUCCGGAAGGAGGCU
rnacentral:tRNA from 3 species